AUUGAACGCUGGCGGCAGGCCUAACACAUGCAAGUCGAACGGUAACAGGAAGCAGCUUGCUGCUUUGCUGACGAGUGGCGGACGGGUGAGUAAUGUCUGGGAAACUGCCUGAUGGAGGGGGAUAACUACUGGAAACGGUAGCUAAUACCGCAUAACGUCGCAAGACCAAAGAGGGGGACCUUCGGGCCUCUUGCCAUCGGAUGUGCCCAGAUGGGAUUAGCUAGUAGGUGGGGUAACGGCUCACCUAGGCGACGAUCCCUAGCUGGUCUGAGAGGAUGACCAGCCACACUGGAACUGAGACACGGUCCAGACUCCUACGGGAGGCAGCAGUGGGGAAUAUUGCACAAUGGGCGCAAGCCUGAUGCAGCCAUGCCGCGUGUAUGAAGAAGGCCUUCGGGUUGUAAAGUACUUUCAGCGGGGAGGAAGGGAGUAAAGUUAAUACCUUUGCUCAUUGACGGUACCCGCAGAAGAAGCACCGGCUAACUCCGUG
rnacentral:rRNA from 1 species